rnacentral:tRNA from 3 species
GGGGAUAUAGCUCAGCUGGGAGAGCGCCUGCUUUGCACGCAGGAGGUCAGCGGUUCGAUCCCGCUUAUCUCCACCA